rnacentral:rRNA from 1 species
UAGGGAAUCUUCCGCAAUGGGCGAAAGCCUGACGGAGCAACGCCGCGUGAGUGAUGAAGGUCUUCGGAUCGUAAAACUCUGUUAUUAGGGAAGAACAAAUGUGUAAGUAACUAUGCACGUCUUGACGGUACCUAAUCAGAAAGCCACGGCUAACUACGUGCCAGCAGCCGCGGGAAUACGUAGGUGGCAAACGUUAUCCGGAAUUAUUGGGCGUAAAGCGCGCGUAGGCGGUUUUUUAAGUAUGAGGUGAAAGCCCACGGCUCAACCGUGGAGGGUCAAUGGAAUCUGGAAAACUGGAGUGCAGAAGAGGAAAGUGGAAUUCCAGGUGUAGCGGUGAAAUGCGCAGAGAUAUGGGGGAACACCAGUGGCGAAGGCGACUUUCUGGUCUGUAACUGACGCUGAUGUGCGAAAGCGUGGGGAUCAAACAGG